rnacentral:rRNA from 1 species
UACGGAGGGUGCAAGCGUUAUCCGGAAUCACUGGGUUUAAAGGGUGCGUAGGCGGCUUUGUAAGUCAGGGGUGAAAGCCCGCAGCUUAACUGCGGAACUGCCUUUGAUACUGCAGAGCUUGAAAGAGGUUGAGGUCAGCGGAACGUGACAUGUAGCGGUGAAAUGCAUAGAUAUUGCACAGAAUACCAAUUGCGAAGGCAGCUGGCUGGGCCUACUUUGACGCUGAGGCACGAAAGCGUGGGGAGCGAACAGG